GACGAACGCUGGCGGCGUGCUUAACACAUGCCAGUCGAACGAAGAGCGAUGGAAGCUUGCUUCUAUCAAUCUUAGUGGCGAACGGGUGAGUAACGCGUAAUCAACCUGCCCUUCAGAGGGGGACAACAGUUGGAAACGACUGCUAAUACCGCAUACGGUCUAAUCUCGGCAUCGAGGAUAGAUGAAAGGUGGCCUCUACAUGUAAGCUAUCACUGAAGGAGGGGAUUGCGUCUGAUUAGCUAGUUGGAGGGGUAACGGCCCACCAAGGCGAUGAUCAGUAGCCGGUCUGAGAGGAUGAACGGCCACAUUGGGACUGAGACACGGCCCAGACUCCUACGGGAGGCAGCAGUGGGGAAUCUUCCGCAAUGGACGAAAGUCUGACGGAGCAACGCCGCGUGAGUGAUGACGGCCUUCGGGUUGUAAAGCUCUGUUAAUCGGGACGAAAGGCCUUCUUGCGAAUAGGGAGAAGGAUUGACGGUACCGGAAGAGAAAGCCACGGCUAACUACGUG
rnacentral:rRNA from 1 species